GGGAGGGGAGGGGGAGGGGAGGGGGCGGGGACGCUCCUUUCUGAGUCGAGUAAACCAGCCUGCCGCGUGCCCUGACCGGCCCCCAACCCCGGGACAGCUCGAACCCUGUCCUGAGAACCUUGAUCCGCAUCCUCCCUGGCUGACCCCUGAUCUUUUGUGAACCUUGAUCAGCACAUCCUCCCUGGCUGACCUCCCUGGCUGACCUCUGACCUUUUGUGAAACUUGAUCCGCAUCCUCCCUGGCUGACCUCCCUGGCUGACCCCUGACCUUUUGUGAACCUUGAUCAGCAUCCUCCCUGGCCGACCUUGAUCAGCAGCCUCACUGGCUGACCCCUGACCUUUUGUGGGGUUUCACAAAACACCUGGGGAGGGCGAGCCUAAUAUCUGCGAUGCUUCUGGAAGGCCCGGGAGAAUCCGACACAGCCGGUGACUAACGAAAAGUGACAAGUGUGCCCAAUCUGACGGAGAACAAGAACCGUAUUGGCUUGGGCCUUGGAGGGAGGGUGAGAAACCUAGCAUCGCCAGAAUCGCCAGGAUCGGAGGGAUGUACUGCUCCCAAAGACAGGUCUGGAUUCCUCUCCCUAUGGAACUGAUGGAAGAAUUCAGGUCCUUGAGAUAAUGUGCUGGGAGCCUAGAGAUGUGAGUCCAGUGAUACCAACCACUGAGUAAAAGGGGGUGAACAGAAUAAGCAGGCCCCGAAGGUAGAAAAAGCAGCUAUGGACUACGUUUUUUCGGCUCUGGAUUGCUCACGGCAUCUACAGAGCAACUUAGACUUCCUUGGUGAGAAGCUGCUGCUUGCAUGUAAACAUCACCACAUCUGAAGUCUUAUUCCUGGACAUCGGUUAUGAGUCAGUGAAAAGCCCCAAAUGAUCUAUGUAUCACUUGCUCUCCUGCACUUUCAGUUUAUGUCACAAACUAGAAAAAGGACUGAGCUCAAUUUGCUGGAAUCUCCCUCAUGACAGUUCAUUUUUAUUUUGAAACAAGUGUUGGUAAAUGUUAAUGCUAGAGAAGAGGCUUACAAUAAAUAAGUAGAAAUGAAAGCAGAAAUAAGGCAGUUCACACAAGCUCAAUUUCCAUGACUCUAAAAAUGUUGCUCAAUCAACAGCACAGCCCGACCAGGAAAACCAGAACACUUUGUUAUGGGCAGAAUUCUAACAUGGAUGCCAAGAUGUCUGGCCCCUGGCAUGCUCAAGCCUUCUCCGAGCUGGUUGGUCAAACACUAACCUCACUCCUGCUGUGAAGAAAUUUUGCAGAUGUAAUUAAGUUCCCAAAUCAGUUGACCUUAUGAUAGGGAGUUUGGCUGGCUGGUCUUGACCUAAUCACAUGGCCCUUUAUAUCUGGAUCUAGAUGUCAGAGACAGAAAAAGUCCAAGAUAUUUGAAGUCUGAGAAGGAUUCAACAAAAGGGAGACACUCCAUUGUUGGCUUUGAAGAUGGAAGGGCCAGGGAGCAAGAAGUGCAACAGCCUCUAGGACUGCUGAGAGCACAUCCCCCCAGGUGACAGCCAGUCAGGAAACACAGACCUCAGUCCUCUAGCUGCAAGACACUGAAUUUCAUGACAACACAAAUGUACUUGGACAAGAGCCCUGAGUUCAGAUGAGAACACAGCCUGGAUGACUCCUUGAUCCAGCCUUGUGAGAAUCUGAAUGGAGAAUCGUGCUUUUCCCAGACACCUGACCCAUGGAAUCUGUGAGGCAAUACUGUCUGUUGUUUUAAGGUGUUGAAUUUGUCAUAAUAUGUUACUCAGUAUAGAAAACAAAUGCAUACUCACAAAUGGUUUUAAAGCUUUUUAUCCAAGACCAAAAUUAAACCUCCCCUGGCGAGAGACCUAUCAGCCUGUCAACUACUGUGAAUGACAUCCAUCAUGCAAGCCCCUCGCUACUCAAAGUGUGAUUCAUGGACCAACAGCAUACACAUGGCCUGGGAGCUGAUUACAAAUGCAACAUCUCAGGCUCCAUCCAGAUUUUCUGAGUCAAUCUUCAUUUUAACAAAUCCCCUAUGAGUCAUAUGCAUUUUAAAGUGUGAGGCACUGGUUAGCAUCCUAAUUCAGAGCUGAAAACCUGGAAUCAGCAAAACUUCGAUUCUCCACAUGGCCCCAUAGUUUUACUGACUGUGGCCUUGAACAAGUUUCUUAACCUCUCUGAGUCUCUAUUAAUCUAUAAAAUGGAGCAAACAAUAGUACCAACUUCACAGGGUCAUGGUGCAGAUUAAAUGGAACAGUAUGUAAAACACAUUAGCCCAGUGCCUCCUGCCACACAAUAAGGGCUUGAUAAAUGUUGGUCGUUAUAGGAUUGAGUGCCAAGAGUGGAGUGAGUUGAGUCUAAAGGGGCAAACCCUUUCAAUUAGAAACAUGCAGGAUCACUGUGACGAACGUCCUCCUCUGAGGAAAUAUAUUGUCACAGACUCCUCAGAGGCUGCAGAAGGUCAUGACCUUGCUUUUCUACCUCAGUAAUCAUCCCCUGACCCCAGGCAGAAUCAGUCAUGCCCUCCCAUCACAAGCACUGACUCCUGUAACCACCUGUGUCUCCCAGCCUCCCACCCACCCCCCCACCCCUGAGAGGUCUCCCCUACCAGCAUUAACCUAUUAACCCCAUUGGGCUCCACCUCACUUAGCUAAUGAUAUCUGGCCAGAAACCAUGGAGACGGGUGUUGGAAACCCCCGAGCAGGUGGUGUCCCUGGAUAUCAGUGACAGCUCACCCCACAGAAGAGAUGAAUGGAUAUGCCAGCAGCAGAGCUGCUGUGGCUGGUUUAAAAGAAAUCUAAGGUUCUUUUCCUUUCUGCCGGAGGGAAUGGUGACAAUGACCUCAGCAGCGAGUAUAAGGACAAAUGAACAUACUGGCAAUUACAAAUGGCCAGAACAGGAGAGAAGUCAUCUGCCCUAGGCUCUGAGAGGUCCGAGAAGUCUGGCUCCUCCUCCUGGUUUCUCUGUUCUUGGCAAACACUCCUCUCCCUUGCUUUAUCCUCUGAGCCUGAGCUGAAGAAAUCUCUAUGGUUCAAUAUAAAUAAUGAGGAUGGUAUUGAUAAUAAUAAUAGCCCUCAUUUGUUGAGUGCUCCAAGUGCCAAGCACUUCUCAUGAAUUAUUUAUACUCCUUAUAACAACUCUGUGGAGAAGACAUUAUUAUGUUUCUUUCUAGUCAAGGAAAUAGACUCAGAGAGGUUAAGUUGCUUGCCUAAGUUUACAUAGCAGGUAAAUGCUUGCCCUUGGAUUGAAACCUGGGCAUGCUUGGCUCAGAAGCCUAUGGUCUCUUCACUUUGUCCACAACAUAGCUGUUGUCCUGACUCCUUUAAUAAGCUCCUGACCUUCUUCCUGAACCCCAUCCUUGGAUCUUUGAUGCUACUGCCAGUAGACUCCUACAGUGCCUUUCUCUUGUCCUUCCCAGGAACCUGGCUUCAUCCUACCACCAGACAUUGUGCUCAAACCAGGGAUGAAGAACUCUACUUGGCCACACUAGUGAAGAUGGGAAAGGAGCAAGGGGGAGAAGGCAGAGAUGUGGCAAUGCUGCGUCUCAGAUUUAUAGAGGAUGGCAGUGGUUCCCAGGGACUAUUAAGAACAGUCUUAUCCUUAAAGAAAAGAAAGUGAAUUGCACUGUGGAAGAAGACAUGAAGUGGUGGAAAAGACUCUGGUGUGGAGCUAAUAAAACCUGAGUUCUCUCUG